rnacentral:misc_RNA from 1 species
CAGGGCAAUCACCAAUGGCUUCCAAAUUCACCCUCAUCUACAAAAACUUGCUGCUCGUCUUCUCCUUGUUUUUUGUCUCUCACUCUUUAACAAACGAUACACUUAACCCCGGUGACAUCUUCAAUUCCACCCAUCGCCUUAUUUCCAGAAACGGGCUCUUCACAUUAGGAUUCUCCGGCCGCUACUUGGUCAUAAAUUACACUGACCAAAGUAACUCACCAAAACACCCUGUCUGGUUAGCUAACAGAAACACACCUAUCCUGGAAAAUACAGGACUUCUCACCAUUGAUAAUGGAACUGGGAGCUUGACAAUUGUACAUGAAGGUAGAAAGCCGGUUGAAUUAUACUCCGGUUACAAUAACUCCAGCAGAAACGUAACUGCCAAAUUACAUGAUAAUGGAAAUUUUGUGUUGGCCGAAGCAAACUCUGGUGGGCAGAUAUUGUGGCAAAGCUUCGAUUAUCCCACGGACACCCUUUUGCCUGGUAUGAAAUUGGGCAUCAACCACAAGACAGGAAGGAACUGGUCACUUACCUCGUGGCUAGCUGAAGAUAUCCCAACUCCUGGAGGUUUCACUCUUGAAUGGGACCCCAAGGAACGCCAGGUGAUCGUGAGGCGCCGAGGAGUUGUAUUUUGGACUAGCGGGGUGUUGACUCCUGAUAAUAGAUUUGAAAAUUUCCUUUCUUUGGAUUCGUUCAAUCAAAACUAUAACUUCACCAGUUUUUCAAACCCGGAUGAAGAGUACCUUCUCUACACGCUCUACGUCGAUGAAUGGACACCUGAAUACCGAAGGAACAUUUCCGAGUGGUUUCUAGAUUAUCAGGGGAACAUACAAGAUGGAGGAUGGAGGCCUUUCACUUUGUUUUCUGAGGCUUGUGAUGGGAAUAGCACAGAAUCUGGCUGCAGGAAAUGGGAAGGACCAAAGUGCAGGAUAGAUGGGGAUAAAUUUGCUGUAAGAGCUGGUAGCUUCAGGGAGCCUCAGCCUAGACGCUCUGAUAACAAUACCAGCUUCAUUGACUGCCAAGACUUAUGCUGGAACAAUUGUUCUUGUACUGGAUUCAAGCAUUCGGGCACCUACUGCGCAUUGUUUAGUGGAUCUUUCUAUAACACAGAUUUGAGAGGAGGUGAAUUAAGCUAUUUUAUAAUUAUUCCGGGUCCUCCGCAUAAAUCGGAUAAGACAUGGAUAUGGAUCGUAAUUGCUAUAAUGCUUGCAAUAAUCGCUAUGUUAAUGAGCAUGUUUCUGUACUUCAGGUGGAGAAGAAUUAGACUGGAAGGUAUUAAUAUUAUUCCCCAAACAAGUAAAAUCCAGACGAAAAUUUUCAAGAUCACUAUUUACUAUUUGCACUUAAUUGAAUGUUAUUUUGUAUUUCUUUGAUGACACGAAUUGCAACAGAGAAAUUUCUCAAGGAGCUGAUGACAUACGAUAGAGUAAGGGAUGUAGAUGAGCUUGAAAAUGGUGGAAACAGGGGAAACAAUUUAUGCAUAUAUAGUGUUGCAACAAUCAAGGCUGCUACCAAUGGCUUUUCAUUCGACAACAAACUGGGACAAGGUGGUUUUGGACCUGUUUACAAGGUAAAACUUAGACUAAUCAUUAGAUGUUAUAUUCUGCUAAACAUAAGCAAUAAAUUGUAUGGUUCAUGAAUGCUUAGGGGAGAUUAACUGAGGGACAGGAAAUAGCAGUAAAGAGACUGUCAAAUAGAUCAGGACAAGGGCUAGAAGAGUUCAAAAAUGAGCUUAUUCUCAUAGCUAAACUGCAACACAUGAAUCUUGUGCGGCUCCUGGGUUUCUGCAUCCAAGGGGAAGAGAAAAUGUUGGUCUACGAGUACAUGCCAAAUAAAAGCUUGGACUUUUUCAUCUUUGGUGGUCGGUAUUUCCCCUCUAUCGUUUAAGUUUAUGUAUCAAUUAGCAAGUUUAUACCUAUUUUCUUCAAGAUAUAUAAUGUCACUGGUGUUUCCAUUAACAGAUGAAUCAAGAAGGAAAGUAUUAGAUUGGAACAAGCGGUUUAACAUCAUUGAAGGAAUAGCUCAAGGUCUACUUUACCUCCAUAAGUAUUCCAGGCUGAGAAUAAUCCAUAGAGAUUUGAAAGCUAGUAAUAUUUUACUUGACGAGGAAAUGAACCCAAAAAUUUCUGAUUUCGGCAUGGCAAGAAUUUUCAAGGCCAAUGAAUCUGAAGCAAACACCUGCACAGUUGUUGGAACACGUGGCUAUAUGUCUCCAGAAUAUAUCAUGGAAGGCAUUUUCUCCACUAAAUCUGAUGUUUAUAGUUUUGGAGUCCUACUAUUGGAAAUUGUCUGCGGUAGAAAGAAUCAGAACGUUUAUGACCAUGAUCGUCCGCUUAAUCUCGUAGGCUAUGUAUGGGAGCAAUGGCAAGGCAAUGCAUUAGAAAUAGUGGAGCCAACAUUAACAAAUUCAGCUCCUAAAGAUGAAGUUUUGAAAUGCAUCAACGUGGGGUUGCUAUGUGUAGAACAGAGUCCAAUGAAUAGGCCAACCAUGUCAGAUGUUUUAUCUAUGUUAACAAGCGAGGUUCAAGAGCUGCCAUUGCCAAAACAGCCAGCAUUUUAUAUGGGAAGCAGCACUGUAACAGCAAAUUCAAUUAAAAAUCAGAUGGAAAGUUAUACAGUAAAUGGGAUGUCCCUAUCAGAUAUGGAUGGGAGAUGAGGGCAUGACUACUUUGAGCAUGUAUGAAUUAUCUGCAGAUGUUGGUGAAAUAUGCAAAUGGAUGUUAUGAAGUCCUGCAAAUAGUUGCUGGGUUUUGUUUAGGUUCCGCAAUAUGUUAAAUGAAGGCAAGACGAGCUACCCCCAACUCAUCAUGGAGGCUGGUUUUCUUGUGUGUUUAUUCUUCCCCUGGCCUGGGGAACUUUCUCAGCUGCCAGAUGAGUGAAAGACUGAACAUAAGAAUUAUGGCAUCCAUGGCAGGUAGUGUUUGUGACCCCAAACAAUGAUGAACUUUAUACAGUUAUAUCCUUUAUAAAUUGGGUAGAGAAAGAAACAUUAGAACUA